rnacentral:rRNA from 1 species
GUGAGGAAUAUUGCGCAAUGGAGGCAACUCUGACGCAGCCAUGCCGCGUGCAGGAAGAAGGCGCUACGCGUUGUAAACUGCUUUUAACCGGGAAGAAACCCCAGGACGUGUCCUGGGUUGACGGUACCGGAGGAAUAAGCACCGGCUAACUUCGUGCCAGCAGCCGCGGUAAUACGAAGGGUGCAAGCGUUAUCCGGAUUCAUUGGGUUUAAAGGGUGCGUAGGCGGAGCGUUAAGUCAGUGGUGAAAUCCUGCAGCUUAACUGUAGACUUGUCAUUGAUACUGGCGCUCUUGAGUGCGCUUGAAGUGGGCGGAAUGUGCCGUGUAGCGGUGAAAUGCUUAGAUAUGGCACAGAACACCAAUUGCGAAGGCAGCUCACUAAGGCGAUACUGACGCUGAGGCACGAAAGCGUGGGGAUCGAACAGGAUUAGAAACCCCUGUAGUCC